UGCAGUCGAACGAUGAACCUCACUUGUGGGGGGAUUAGUGGCGAAGGGUGAGUAACACGUGAGUAACCUGCCCUUGACUCUGGGAUAAGCCUGGGAAACCNGGUCUAAUACUGGAUACNACCUUCUGGCGCAGGCCANGUUGGUGGAAAGCUUUNGUGGUUUUGGAUGGACUCNCGGCCUAUCAGCUUGUUGGUGGGGUAAUGGCCUACCAUGGCNACCACAGGNAGCCGGCCUGAGAGGGUGACCGGCCACACUGGGACUGAAACACGGCCCACACUCCUACAGGAGGCAUCACUGGGG
rnacentral:rRNA from 1 species